GGUAGAUAGAAGAAGAGAAACAAACAGACCAACAAAAAAGACAACGUCCAUCAACGCUGUAAUUUACUGCACCGCCCUCGAUUAUCAUAGUGGUUGAAGAUGAACUUCUCAGACGCUGCCUGUGGGAGAUGUCACGUCAACACCGAAGUCUGGGUGAAGAAGGAUGAACGCUCUUUACUACGGACAGACAUCCUGAGGAGAUGGACGCACUUUUGGCCGAGAUUACACAAAAACUACAGAACGGAUUUACAUGAAACCUGGAUGGAGGAUGGGUCUCAGCCCAGAGUGGACCCCAUUAACUUCUGGUGCUGAUACGGAUGACGGGACAGGAAUCCAGGAAUUUUUGGACGUUUUCAUUCUUGAUUAAGAAAAUCAGGCAUAUAUAGGUGGCUGGUAUCUAUGAGUGAGAACAAUCUGAUGUAGUCCAGCAGAUUUGAAUAUGUUUUAUCUGAUAACUGAUUAAACUUAAUUACAUUAGAUGGGACUGUUUGGCCUUGGCGGAGGUAUACAUUCUACUGAGGGCCAUUCCAGCAUCCACAUGAUAUCUCCUCAGAAUAACAAGUCUCCAUCUUAAGGGAUAUUGUUAUCAAAUUGAACUUGGACUACAUGAUGUGGCCACAUUGUUUUUUCCAGCUAAGAGGGGCAGCUGUAGGUCAUCUGCAGGCUUAUUUUUGCAUUAAAGAAUUGGGGCGAGACAAACAAAUAAAUAAUUCAUUGUGUUCAAACAUCUAAAGAUUAAUACCAGAAACACUUACAGAGCUUCUG